rnacentral:rRNA from 1 species
AUUGAACGCUGGCGGCAGGCCUAACACAUGCAAGUCGAACGAGUGGCGGACGGGUGAGUAAUGUCUGGGAAACUGCCUUAUGGAGGGGGAUAACUACUGGAAACGGUAGCUAAUACCGCAUACCAUCGGAUGUGCCCAGGUGGGAUUAGGUAGUAGGUGGGGUAAAGGCUCACCUAGGCGACGAUCCCUAGCUGGUCUGAGAGGAUGACCAGCCACACUGGAAAUGGGACACGGCCCAGACUCCUACGGGAGGCAGCAGUGGGGAAUAUUGCGCAAUGGGCGCAAGCCUGACGCAGCCAUGCCGCGUGAAUGAAGAAGGCCUUCGGGUUGUAAAGUAAUUUCGGUGGCGAGGCGUUAACCGCAGAAGAAGCACCGGCUAACUCCGUGCCAGCAGCCGCGGUAAUAC